rnacentral:rRNA from 1 species
CAGUAGCCGCGGUAAUACGGAGGGAGCUAGCGUUGUUCGGAAUUACUGGGCGUAAAGCGCGCGUAGGCGGUUACUCAAGUCAGAGGUGAAAGCCCGGGGCUCAACCCCGGAACUGCCUUUGAAACUAGGUGACUAGAAUCUUGGAGAGGUCAGUGGAAUUCCGAGUGUAGAGGUGAAAUUCGUAGAUAUUCGGAAGAACACCAGUGGCGAAGGCGACUGACUGGACAAGUAUUGACGCUGAGGUGCGAAAGCGUGGGGAGCAAACAGGAUUAGAUACCCCAGUAGUCCCUGUCUCUUAUAA